GUAGGGUGCAAGCGUUGUCCGGAAUUACUGGGUGUAAAGGGAGCGCAGGCGGGAAGACAAGUUGGAAGUGAAAACCAUGGGCUCAACCCAUGAAUUGCUUUCAAAACUGUUUUUCUUGAGUAGUGCAGAGGUAGAUGGAAUUCCCGGUGUAGCGGUGGAAUGCGUAGAUAUCGGGAGGAACACCAGUGGCGAAGGCGGUCUACUGGGCACCAACUGACGCUGAGGCUCGAAAGCAUGGGUAGCAAACAGGAUUAGAUACCCUGGUAGUCCAUGCCGUAAACGAUGAUUACUAGGUGUUGGGGGAUUGACCCCCUCAGUGCCGCAGUUAACACAAUAAGUAAUCCACCUGGGGAGUACGACCGCAAGGUUG
rnacentral:rRNA from 1 species